UUUACUAUGCUCAAGACAGUAAGAGUGGUCGUCUAUUAGCGCAUGCUCUGAAAAAAGCAAAGAGAGGCCACUUUUAUAGCCUCCAUCCAAGAGGCGACCUUAUGUUAGAUAUCUCCAAAGCUUUUCACAAAUUUUACUCCUCUUUAUAUAAUCUGAAGGCUGAACCACCGCCUGCAUCAGAAAUACAAGAAUUCCUUGCACAUAGAAUAUCAC